GCUAUACAUGCAAGUCGAGCGGACAGAAGGGAGCUUGCUCCCGGAUGUUAGCGGCGGACGGGUGAGUAACACGUGGGUAACCUGCCUGUAAGACUGGGAUAACUCCGGGAAACCGGAGCUAAUACCGGAUAGUUCCUUGAACCGCAUGGUUCAAGGAUGAAAGACGGUUUCGGCUGUCACUUACAGAUGGACCCGCGGCGCAUUAGCUAGUUGGUGGGGUAAUGGCUCACCAAGGCGACGAUGCGUAGCCGACCUGAGAGGGUGAUCGGCCACACUGGGACUGAGACACGGCCCAGACUCCUACGGGAGGCAGCAGUAGGGAAUCUUCCGCAAUGGACGAAAGUCUGACGGAGCAACGCCGCGUGAGUGAUGAAGGUUUUCGGAUCGUAAAGCUCUGUUGUUAGGGAAGAACAAGUGCGAGAGUAACUGCUCGCACCUUGACGGUACCUAACCAGAAAGCCACGGCUAACUACGUGCCAGCAGCCGCGGUAAUACGUAGGUGGCAAGCGUUGUCCGGAAUUAUUGGGCGUAAAGGGCUCGCAGGCGGUUUCUUAAGUCUGAUGUGAAAGCCCCCGGCUCAACCGGGGAGGGUCAUUGGAAACUGGGAAACUUGAGUGCAGAAGAGGAGAGUGGAAUUCCACGUGUAGCGGUGAAAUGCGUAGAGAUGUGGAGGAACACCAGUGGCGAA
rnacentral:rRNA from 1 species